rnacentral:tRNA from 1 species
CAGGGGUUAGUUUAUUAAAAUAUCGGUUUUGGGGAUCGAGGAUAGAAGAUUCUUUCUACCCCUGA